rnacentral:rRNA from 1 species
GGGGAAUUUUGGACAAUGCGGGCAACCCUGAUCCAGCCAUGCCGCGUGAGUGAGGAAGGCCUUCGGGUUGUAAAGCUCUUUCGGCCGGGAAGAAAUCGUGCAGGCUAAUACCCUGUAUGGAUGACGGUACCGGAAUAAGAAGCACCGGCUAACUCCGUGCCAGCAGCCGCGGUAAUACGUAGGGUGCGAGCGUUAAUCGGAAUUACUGGGCGUAAAGCGUGCGCAGGCGGUUUUGUAAGACAGGCGUGAAAUCCCCGGGCUCAACCUGGGAACUGCGCUUGUGACUGCAAGACUGGAGUGCGGCAGAGGGGGAUGGAAUUCCGCGUGUAGCAGUGAAAUGCGUAGAUAUGCGGAGGAACACCGAUGGCGAAGGCAAUCCCCUGGGCCUGCACUUACGCUCAUGCACGAAAGCGUGGGGAGCAAACA